AAAUAAAAAAUAGAUGAUUAAUCUAGAAGAGUCCUAAAAACUGGAUUUUUAAAAACAUAAUAAAAUUGUUACAUUCAGGUAAGUGUGGCUUUAGGAAAACAAAUUACGAUUAUUGUGGGACUGCUUAUCCCUAUGUCUCCAGGGUGAACCGGUCCCGAGAACGAGGUGCCUGUGGAUGAAUGAGAAAAGUAAAGAGAGACAAGAAAACCAAGAGAGGCAGAAGUCUGGGACCAGGGGCUGACAGCGUCUCGGACUGCAGCUUCUAGGACUGUCCCUCCUACCAAUUUCAGUCACCUUUUAUUGAGCGGGAACCUAGGGCGUAGUAGUACUGAUGGCUGGAUACAAAACGUUUUAGCAAAGGUAAUCAGAGGAUUAUCCUCUUCCACAUGUAAUCGGAGACAUGUCUGUAAUCCCAGCACUCAAGAGGCUGAGACAGGAGGAUGGUAAACGCAAAGUUAAACAAACCAUUGUGUCCUCAGUGCAUUCUAAUCAAAGAAUGUCCUUCUCCACAGAAUAUCAGAAAUGGACAGAGAAAAUCCAGUAGUUUCUGCUUGGCCUGUGUGUGGGAGCGGGGAGAAUUAAUCGUUUAGGGAGUGUUCGUCAAAAUUGGUAGUACAAGGUUUAUUAGUCCUGACUUUACCCAACCUCUCUCUACCGAGGGGAGUCAGCUCCCAGGUUUUAACCCCUCGGAUGAACACCUGCAAUCUGCAGUCACUGCCUACAUCUGUUGUCACCUUGGACUUCCAACAGCGCCCACUGGACUCAGACUGCCUCUCUUGGCAGGAGCGGUCACCUGUGGGAACCCAACUGCCCAUCACGCUGUGGGGAUUUAUUUCUCCAGAGCUGUGAAACCAGGACUGAGAGAACGUGCACCGCACCUUAGCCCACCUCAGCUGCCCUGAAACGCAAGUGCUACUUCCUUCCCGAAGGGGCCGGUCUGGUCUCUGUCAGAACUUCUCCCUGCAGCCCCUAAGCCGGGGUCCGUCCUCGUUUUCCUGCUUCCCUUGUGAAGGCCGCCUGAUCACCGUCAGAACAGCGCCCUUUAGUUUUUCUUUCCGGACCGUCCAAUUUUUCCUUACUUUCCAGUUAAAGCUUUUGCCUAUAAUCUGUGCUGCUGCCUCAGUUUUAAUUUCUAUUAUCAUGAAACAAGCCAGUGACAACCUCCAAGAAAAGGGAAGAUCCUGACACAGGCUACACAGGUGGACCGUGAGAUCACUACGCUAGGUGAGAGGAGUCAUUUGCGGAAAGAAACACUAUCGGCUUCUUCCCGUACGCGACACCGGAGGGGUCACACUUAGAGAGGCUGGAGCGGUGGUGGCCGUGGGCUUGCAGAGCAGGAGCGGGGAGUCAUCGUUUCACAAGGACAGCACUUCCGGUUGUGAGACGAAGAGCACGCGUGACGGGCGGGAGUGGGUCGGGUGCCCUGCAGGGUGCGGUGGGCCCCGGGAGGGCCCGCUCUUCCUGCACAAACUCAGGAUCCAGCUGACGCUGCUCUGCUGCAGUAGCUGGACAGGAGUGGUCGCGGACACCGAUGAGCUGCAGAGAUGGCUGACCAGUCGGGCGUUGCUGGAGGGGACAAACCUUUACCUGGAGACUUGCCCGCUUACGGCCUAAGAGCUCUGGGACGGGUGGGUUGGCCGGAGACGACACUUAAUCAGGUUUGACACCAACAGCAGCAGAAAGCUCCAAGCAGUGACAGUAGCAGAACAGCAUAGUGGCAGUGAUGGCCGUCUCCACCGCGUCAGAGAGCUGUGCGCUGGAAUUCCGGCACACAGGCUGCACACUUUCCUGUGACCGCGGCUCCCGUGUGUCCUGGCUGUUGGUGGAGAGGAAGCGCUCCCACUUCACGCGGCUCGCUCCGGCCCUUUGUCAGCUGUGUGAGCUCACACUGUGCUUUGCCCAGCAGCUGUGGUGGACGUUUAUUAGUUUACACACAAGUGAGUCUUUGGCUUUGAUCAUGAAUUCUUUGGAACUUUAACAAGACAAAACCAAGCCUAUUACACCAAUUAGAACUUCUGGAAGCUAUUAUCAAUCAUCUUAUUUGUCUGCUAAAGCUCUCUAAUAUCAAUUUGAAUGUGCAGAAUGUUUAAGGUACAACAUAUGCUUUUCUUUGUGAGAUGUGAAAAACUUUUAAUUAACCCACAGCUGUUUCUUUCUUCUCCUAGAGGACCGUGGCUGAGAGUGUGCAGUGUUCUUGUGUAAACGAUGUGGAUUCACUUGGAUGUAAAAAACAAACUGACACGGUCAUCCACGGCCGGUUUCAUAUUAGUGGAAAAUGUAACUCAGGCCUUAAGUGUCUGCCUGUUUGAUGUCCUCGUGAAUGCACAGGGAACAUGCAGUGACUCUUUUGGCCUCUUUAACUUGUGAUUAUCCAAGUCGGCCCUAACCGGAUGACUGUGUCCUCACGAGAGAGCGAGCAGACAGACGCAGACGCAGGCCCUGGGGCACAGACAGCACGGCCACUAACCACGGAAGAGGCUGGCCUUGAACUCACUGUGUAGCCCAGCUGGCCUCGAAUUCACGGCAGCCCUCCUGCCUCAGCCUCCUGAGUGCCUGGAUUAAAGGUGUGCCCCAUCACGCCUGGCUACCCUGUAUCUUUGAAGUUCUUGGUAAUGGCAGUAAUACCUGCAGUGCCCUGGAAAGGUGGGGUUGCUUUACAUGGUCUUUGCCAGUGUAACAGCCCCGCUCCACCAGUGAGGGGAAACGUGGGCAUUCUGCGCGUGCUGGAGCUGGAGAAGUAACUGGAGGAUGGGAGCAGGGAUGUGGCCCCCACUGUGGAGUAGACCUGAGCUAAUGCCCCGCGGACCACUGGCUUUCACGAGCUGCUCCUGAGGGCCCCGUGGUGCCGUGGUCUCUGAAUGCGUGCCAGCUGGAGUUCCCUUCUCCCCGAGUCUCUUCCACAAGUGUCUGGCUCCAUGCGAAGCACACAGAGGCCUCCGUGGCAGCACCGCGGGGUCUCACCACGCGGCGGGCCUGUGUCUCUGUCUGAUGGUGCUACAGCGUCCUUUUUGGCUGUAUUUUUUUUCUGACUAUUGAUGCAAUGCUUGCUUAUUGUGAAAAAAUCUGGGAAAGGACACUUGCGAUCUCUGGAAAACAUGUCACUUGUUGAAACAUUUCUGUAACAACUGUUUUAUCUUAACUUCUACCUCUUGGCCAGAUCUGUGUCAAAGUGCCUACUGGAUACUUCUACCAGCAGGUUUGACUUAAGUCAAACAUUCCUUGAGGCGCUACAGCCCCAGAUCCCAUACUCUUACCUAUGAUGUCGCAACUGUGUUCUUUAGGGCCAAGUUAAAAAUGUGUUCACACAAAACUUGUGCAUGCAAGUUUAUACCAGCUUUGUGCACGGCUGCCAAGUCUUGGGAGUAUCUCCAGAUACUGGAGUAUUAUCUGGCAUUAAAAAGAUAUGAGCUAAGCCGGGCGUGGUGGUGCACACCCGUAAUCCCAGCCCUCGGGAGACUGAGGCAGGA